UCUCAGUUAAGCAAAGGAAUAGAGGAAAGAUGAAGCUGAGCAAGGAUUAGUUUCUCCAUGACAAUCUUGGACCAGUUAGCACAGCCAGAAAUCCACAAUCCCAUGAGUCCCCGAGAGAGUCGAAAACAUGCAAGCAAAGUCCGACUGUAUUACAUGCUUCACCCCAGGGACGGUGGGUGUCCUGCCAAGAGGCUCCGGUCAGAAAAUGUGAGUAUCUGGUACCACUUGAUAUCCUUAGAUGAUUUGUUCUGUUUGCUAAGGACUUUGCAAGUAUAGGAAUUAUAGUCAUAUCCAGAUUAGUAGCAAAGCUAAGUAGAAAUAGUUCUUAUUAAAUAUUACACAAAAUAAUGCAUGUAAGCCAGUCUUGUUUGCUUGUUUUUGCUUUCCUAUAAGAACUUGCCAACUUUGGA
rnacentral:lncRNA from 1 species